rnacentral:rRNA from 1 species
AGCGGAGGAAAAGAAACCAACAGGGAUUGCCCUAGUAACGGCGAGUGAAGCGGCAACAGCUCAAAUUUGAAAUCUGGCUCUUUCAGGGUCCGAGUUGUAAUUUGUAGAGGGUGCUUUGGAGUUGACUGUGGUCUAAGUUCCUUGGAACAGGACGUCGCAGAGGGUGAGAAUCCCGUAUGUGGCCGCCAGUCUUCGCCGUGUAAAGCCCCUUCGACGAGUCGAGUUGUUUGGGAAUGCAGCUCUAAAUGGGAGGUAAAUUUCUUCUAAAGCUAAAUAUUGGCCAGAGACCGAUAGCGCACAAGUAGAGUGAUCGAAAGAUGAAAAGCACUUUGGAAAGAGAGUCAAAAAGCACGUGAAAUUGUUGAAAGGGAAGCGCUUGCAGCCAGACUUGCCUGUAGUUGCUCAUCCGGGCUUUUGCCCGGUGCACUCUUCUAUAGGCAGGCCAGCAUCAGUCCUGGCGGUCGGAUAAAUGCCCGCUGAAUGUACCUCUCCUCGGGGAGGACUUAUAGCAGUGGGCGGCAUACGACCAGCCGGGAUUGAGGUCCGCGCAUCUGCUAGGAUGCUGGCGUAAUGGCUGUAAGCGGCCCGUCUUGAAACACGGACCAAGGAGUCUAACAUCUAUGCGAGUGUUUGGGUGUCAAGCCCGAGCGCGUAAUGAAAGUGAACGGAGGUGGGAACCCCUCGGGGUGCACCAUCGACCGAUCCUGAUGUCUUCGGAUGGAUUUGAGUAAGAGCAUAGCUGUUGGGACCCGAAAGAUGGUGAACUAUGCCUGAAUAGGGUGAAGCCAGAGGAAACUCUGGUGGAGGCUCGCAGCGGUUCUGACGUGCAAAUCGAUCGUCAAAUUUGGGCAUAGGGGCGAAAGACUAAUCGAACUAUCUAGUAGCUGGUUCCUGC